UCAAACUUGGUCAUUUAGAGGAAGUAAAAGUCGUAACAAGGUUUCCGUAGGUGAACCUGCGGAAGGAUCAUUACCGAGUUCAUGCCCUUUCAUGGGGUAGACCUCCCACCCUUGUGUUCCUGACCAUUCUGUUGCUUUGGCGGGCCGUCCCGUUAGGGGCCGCUGGCUGCUGCUAGCGAGUGCCCGCCAAAGGUUUUUGAACUCUUAUUUUAUUUAGUGUUGUCUGAGAAAAUUUAUUUUAUAAUUAUUAAAACUUUCAACAACGGAUCUCUUGGUUCUGGCAUCGAUGAAGAACGCAGC
rnacentral:misc_RNA from 1 species